GCCGCUAUAGCUCAAUGGUAGAGCACUGGUAUCGCAAGCCAGUGGGCGUGGGUUUGAUUCUCACUGGUGGCA